CAGACAUGUACCAGAAAGAAUCUUCGAUGCAGUGAAAAAGCUUCAAUUGUCCCGCACCGACAUCCUAAAAUGGAUAACAGCGCAUGGAUCGAUAUCGCAACUUGAAAGUGAAAUCAUACAUUUUAUUUUUGAGAUAACUUGUUUUUAUUUUUAAAAUUCUUCUCAUUCUGGUGUAUGACAGAAACCGAGAGACAUAGUUUAGAGCAGCAUACUAGAAAAUCUCUCUCAGUGAAAGUAGGGGGAAUCAAGUGUAUGGUAGAAAGUCAUUAUAUAUCUAAUCAAGAUUUUCUUGAGGAAGAAAUCAAAGAAUGGUGGUCUAACACCUCAAAAGCAGGUGUUGAGAUUCCAUCUGAAGAAGAUCUAAUUGCAAAUUUUAAAAAGAAACAACUGUUAGGCUUGUAGCCAUUUAUUAAGCAUGUGUUUUGGAACGGCGUUUACAAGCAACAGCAACUUCUCA